rnacentral:lncRNA from 1 species
UCAUACCAGCUGGGGAUGGACAAACCAAGGGUGGUAACCAGAAGAUACUUGCUACCAGCUGAAACUGAGGUCCUUCACAGGUGGCAGUUGCCAGGAGCAAGCUGGAUGCAAAGCUCUGAAUAACAAGGUGUAUAGAAGACAAAUAACUUCCCUGUUUUUGGUUGCAUCUUCUAAGGUAGGGCUCUUGUUCUUACUCUCCUGUUUUUAAUCUCUGUUAAGAGCCAGUGA